GGGCGCGUAGCUCAGCGGUAGUAGCACUACCUUGACAUGGUAGGGGUCACAGGUUCAAUCCCUGUCGCGCCCACCA
rnacentral:tRNA from 1 species